rnacentral:rRNA from 1 species
AUUGAACGCUGGCGGCAUGCCUUACACAUGCAAGUCGAACGGCAGCACGGGAGCUUGCUCCUGGUGGCGAGUGGCGAACGGGUGAGUAAUACAUCGGAACGUACCCUGAAGUGGGGGAUAACGUAGCGAAAGUUACGCUAAUACCGCAUAUUCUGUGAGCAGGAAGGAGGGGGAUCGCAAGACCUCUUGCUUUAGGAGCGGCCGAUGUCGGAUUAGCUAGUUGGUGAGGUAAAGGCUCACCAAGGCGACGAUCCGUAGCGGGUCUGAGAGGAUGAUCCGCCACACUGGGACUGAGACACGGCCCAGACUCCUACGGGAGGCAGCAGUGGGGAAUUUUGGACAAUGGGCGCAAGCCUGAUCCAGCCAUGCCGCGUGAGUGAAGAAGGGCCUUCGGGUUGUUAAAGGACGUCUUUUCCGGUUGGGGGUAAGGGAAAAGUU